AACGAACGCUGGCGGCAGGCUUAACACAUGCAAGUCGAGCGCCCCGCAAGGGGAGCGGCAGACGGGUGAGUAACGCGUGGGAAUCUACCCAUCUCUACGGAGUAACGCAUGGAAACGUGUGCUAAUACCAUAUACGUCCUUCGGGAGAAAGAUUUAUCGGAGAUGGAUGAGCCCGCGUUGGAUUAGCUAGUUGGUGGGGUAAAGGCCUACCAAGGCGACGAUCCAUAGCUGGUCUGAGAGGAUGAUCAGCCACACUGGGACUGAGACACGGCCCAGACUCCUACGGGAGGCAGCAGUGGGGUAUAUUUGACAAUGGGCGCAAGCCUGAUCCAGCCAUGCCGCGUGAGUGAUGAAGGCCCUAGGGUUGUAAAGCUCUUUCACCGGUGAAGAUAAUGACGGUAACCGGAGAAGAAGCCCCGGCUAUCUUCGUGCCAGCCGCCGCUGUAAGAC
rnacentral:rRNA from 1 species